rnacentral:pre_miRNA from 1 species
GGGGGGAGCGCCGGAUCCUGGGCUGUGUACCCCAGCGCCCUGGGCUCCUGGGCCUGCGCGGCUGGCAUUGCAAUCCCCGGCAGCGCAGCUCCCU